rnacentral:rRNA from 1 species
UACGGAGGGUGCAAGCGUUGUCCGGAAUCACUGGGCGUAAAGGGCGCGUAGGCGGCUCGGUAAGUAGGGGGUGAAAUCCUGCGGCUUAACCGCAGGGCUGCCUUCUAAACUGUCGAGCUUGAGCACGGUAGAGGCAGAUGGAAUUCCCGGUGUAGCGGUGGAAUGCGUAGAGAUCGGGAAGAACAUCAGUGGCGAAGGCGGUCUGCUGGGCCGUUGCUGACGCUGAGGCGCGAUAGCGUGGGGAGCAAACAGG